rnacentral:rRNA from 1 species
UACGUAGGGAGCAAGCGUUGUUCGGAUUUACUGGGCGUAAAGGGCGCGUAGGCGGCGCGGUAAGUCACUUGUGAAAUCUCUGAGCUUAACUCAGAACGGCCAAGUGAUACUGCAGUGCUAGAGGUGCAGAAAGGGCAAUCGGAAUUCUUGGUGUAGCGGUGAAAUGCGUAGAUAUCAAGAGGAACACCUGAGGCGAAGGCGGGUUGCUAGGCUGACACUGACGCUGGAGUGCGCGAAAGCCAGGGGAGCAAACGGG